rnacentral:rRNA from 1 species
UACGUAGGGUGCGAGCGUUGUCCGGAUUUAUUGGGCGUAAAGAGCUCGUAGGCGGUUUGUCGCGUCGGCCGUGAAAUCUCCACGCUUAACGUGGAGCGUGCGGUCGAUACGGGCAGACUUGAGUUCGGUAGGGGAGACUGGAAUUCCUGGUGUAGCGGUGAAAUGCGCAGAUAUCAGGAGGAACACCGGCGGCGAAGGCGGCCCCCUGGCCCGCAACUGACGCUCAUGGUCGAAAGCGUGGGGAGCAAACAGG